AUGGCGCUGUGCUCUCUCCUGAGAAAGAUGCCUGCCCUUGCACUCAGGUCGCCACCGAUGGCAACCCGCAUGGGCACCAUGCGCGCUCUCUCGGCGGCGGCGGGUUCUCGCUUCAUGUCCCAUGGUGCACCGGAGAGACAGAUGAUUUAUCCUGAAAAGGGGGCCAAACUGCUCGAGGAAACAAAGCGCAAUCAGGCACAGGCCGACCAAUACCUGAAGGAUGCACGCAAAAAAUUGGCUAUUUUGGAUGAACUUCAGAGGCCUGGAUGGUGUGAUCCUAAAGUAAAUUUCCAUGAUGAGCUUCGUAAACUUGAGAAGACAUGUGAUAUAGCUCUUUUGAUACUAGUGCCUACAACUCUUAUGCUUUUUAUGGCUGUAGUAUAA
rnacentral:rRNA from 1 species